GUUGUUGGGUAGGGGAGCGUUCUGUAAGCCGUUGAAGGUGACCUGUGAGGGUUGCUGGAGGUAUCAGAAGUGCGAAUGCUGACAUAAGUAACGAUAAUGCGGGUGAAAAACCCGCACGCCGGAAGACCAAGGGUUCCUGUCCAACGUUAAUCGGGGCAGGGUGAGUCGACCCCUAAGGCGAGGCUGAAAAGCGUAGUCGAUGGGAAACAGGUUAAUAUUCCUGUACUUGGUGUUACUGCGAAGGGGGGACGGAGAAGGCUAGGCUGGCCGGGCGACGGUUGUCCCGGUUUAAGCGUGUAGGGGGAGUGACCAGGUAAAUCCGGUUGCUUAUCAACCCUGAGGCGUGAUGACGAUGCACCACGGUGCAGAAGCAGUUGAUGCCAUGCUUCCAGGAAAAGCCUCUAAGCAUCAGGUAACAUUAAAUCGUACCCCAAACCGACACAGGUGGUCAGGUAGAGAAUACUCAGGCGCUUGAGAGAACUCGGGUGAAGGAACUAGGCAAAAUGGUGCCGUAACUUCGGGAGAAGGCACGCUGGCGUUAGGUGAAAGGACUAGCUCCUGGAGCUGAAGCCAGUCGCAGAUACCAGCUGGCUGCAACUGUUUAAUAAAAACACAGCACUGUGCAAACACGAAAGUGGACGUAUACAGUGUGACGCCUGCCCGGUGCUGGAAGGUUAAUUGAUGGGGUCAGCCGCAAGGCGAAGCUCUUGAUCGAAGCCCCAGUAAACGGCGGCCGUAACUAUAACGGUCCUAAGGUAGCGAAAUUCCUUGUCGGGUAAGUUCCGACCUGCACGAAUGGCGUAAUGAUGGCCAGGCUGUCUCCACCCGAGACUCAGUGAAAUUGAACUCGCUGUGAAGAUGCAGUGUACCCGCGGCAAGACGGAAAGACCCCGUGAACCUUUACUAUAGCUUGACACUGAACAUUGAGCCUUGAUGUGUAGGAUAGGUGGGAGGCCUUGAAGUGUGGACGCCAGUCUGCAUGGAGCCAACCUUGAAAUACCACCCUUUAAUGUUUGAUGUUCUAACUCGGCCCCAUGAUCUGGGGUGAGGACAGUGUCUGGUGGGUAGUUUGACUGGGGCGGUCUCCUCCCAAAGAGUAACGGAGGAGCACGAAGGUUAGCUAAUCACGGUCGGACAUCGUGAGGUUAGUGCAAAGGCAUAAGCUAGCUUGACUGCGAGAGUGACGGCUCGAGCAGGUACGAAAGUAGGUCUUAGUGAUCCGGUGGUUCUGAAUGGAAGGGCCAUCGCUCAACGGAUAAAAGGUACUCCGGGGAUAACAGGCUGAUACCGCCCAAGAGUUCAUAUCGACGGCGG
rnacentral:rRNA from 2 species